GAGUGAAAUAGAACCUGAAACCGUGUGCUUACAAGUAGUCAGAGCCCGUUAAUGGGUGAUGGCGUGCCUUUUGUAGAAUGAACCGGCGAGUUACGAUUUGAUGCAAGGUUAAGCAGUAAAUGUGGAGCCGUAGCGAAAGCGAGUCUGAAUAGGGCGUUUAGUAUUUGGUCGUAGACCCGAAACCAGGUGAUCUACCCUUGGUCAGGUUGAAGUUCAGGUAACACUGAAUGGAGGACCGAACCGACUUACGUUGAAAAGUGAGCGGAUGAACUGAGGGUAGCGGAGAAAUUCCAAUCGAACCUGGAGAUAGCUGGUUCUCUCCGAAAUAGCUUUAGGGCUAGCCUCAAGUGAUGAUUAUUGGAGGUAGAGCACUGUUUGGACGAGGGGCCCCUCUCGGGUUACCGAAUUCAGACAAACUCCGAAUGCCAAUUAAUUUAACUUGGGAGUCAGAACAUGGGUGAUAAGGUCCGUGUUCGAAAGGGAAACAGCCCAGACCACCAGCUAAGGUCCCAAAAUAUAUGUUAAGUGGAAAAGGAUGUGGCGUUGCCCAGACAACUAGGAUGUUGGCUUAGAAGCAGCCAUCAUUUAAAGAGUGCGUAAUAGCUCACUAGUCGAGUGACACUGCGCCGAAAAUGUACCGGGGCUAAACAUAUUACCGAAGCUGUGGAUUGUCCUUUGGACAAUGGUAGGAGAGCGUUCUAAGGGCGUUGAAGCAUGAUCGUAAGGACAUGUGGAGCGCUUAGAAGUGAGAAUGCCGGUGUGAGUAGCGAAAGACGGGUGAGAAUCCCGUCCACCGAUUGACUAAGGUUUCCAGAGGAAGGCUCGUCCGCUCUGGGUUAGUCGGGUCCUAAGCUGAGGCCGACAGGCGUAGGCGAUGGAUAACAGGUUGAUAUUCCUGUACCACCUAUAAUCGUUUUAAUCGAUGGGGGGACGCAGUAGGAUAGGCGAAGCGUG
rnacentral:rRNA from 1 species